rnacentral:rRNA from 1 species
GACGAACGCUGGCGGCGUGCCUAAUACAUGCAAGUAGAACGCUGAAGAGAGGAGCUUGCUCUUCUUGGAUGAGUUGCGAACGGGUGAGUAACGCGUAGGUAACCUGCCUGGUAGCGGGGGAUAACUAUUGGAAACGAUAGCUAAUACCGCAUAAAAUGGAUUAUCGCAUGAUAAUCCAUUGAAAGGUGCAAAUGCAUCACUACCAGAUGGACCUGCGUUGUAUUAGCUAGUUGGUGGGGUAACGGCGCACCAAGGUGACGAUACAUAGCCGACCUGAGAGGGUGAUCGGCCACACUGGGACUGAGACACGGCCCAGACUCCUACGGGAGGCAGCAGUAGGGAAUCUUCGGCAAUGGACGGAAGUCUGACCGAGCAACGCCGCGUGAGUGAAGAAGGUUUUCGGAUCGUAAAGCUCUGUUGUAAGAGAAGAACGAGUGUGAGAGUGGAAAGUUCACACUGUGACGGUAUCUUACCAGAAAGGGACGGCUAACUACGUG